CCCCCCCCCCCCCCCACCCCCCCACCCCGGCUCGGGUGCUGCUGAUUAUAUUUGCUUGCUAAUUUGGAGGAACAAAAAGAAAGAAACUGGUUGGCAGGUUGCUAGCUAUUGAGGAUUGCUUGCUCGGUGGAGGCAGAGGGAGAAUAAAGGUGUGAAGGAAGAAUGAUGCUACUAUGUGUUUAUUUGAGAGGAGCUGGCUUGCUAGAGAAUAAGAGGCCGGGAAUAUUGGUAGCGCAUUCUUCAGAACAUAUCACAAAGUGCUAGCAUAUUGAAGAUUUGGAGGGCAUGGAGGACUGUGACCUGCUCUGCGAUGUGGUAUUGCAGAUAAGUUUGGACUUUUGGAGAUUUUCUUAAACUACAUGUUGGGUAAGCAACCUAAAAUGGACAAGCUACAAGACUACCAUUAUCAUGCAUAGGCAAACCACUCUUAUGCAAUACUUAUUUUAUAUCAACUGAUCCUACUUACAUUGCCGAAGCCUGUUGUAUUAGUUGUCAUUGCAGAGCAUCACUGAACCUGAUGUGUUGGAGUUCAAAAGUGCUGGAUGGCAGUAUGUAUGUUUUUAGAAGUGCUGGACCAAACUUCUGUUGCCUCUUUAUGACUGGUUGGCUGGUGACGUUAAUCUCCAUGUAGGGGUGAGGUGGUGAUGAUGUGAGGACACAGUUCUGGAAAUUGAUUACAAAUGCAAAGGAGUGGUCUAUCUCAACUCCAAAGUUCCUAUUUUUAAGCAACCACAAAAUUGUUUAGAAAAAGGAGUGGGGUCUCAGAAGAGCGGGGCUGCAGAAGAGCGGCGCUGCAGAGUUAGAGAGAGGAGUGGUGUAGGUAGCAGAACGGUGCAGUGCUGCAGUGCUGCUUGGAUAAGAGCAACUCCAAUGGACUAUCCAUUUUUUGACUCUCCAUUUAACUCUCUUGGCAAAAAAAUUCCUCUCUA